AGAGUUUGAUCCUGGCUCAGGGUGAACGCUGGCGGCGUGGAUAGGGCAUGCAAGUCAAGGGGUCCGCAAGGACACCGGCAGACGAGGUCAGUAAUACGUAGGAACGUACCCCGAAGUCUGGUAUAGCUCGCCGAAAGGCGGGGUAAUCCCAGAUGGUCUCGAAAGAGUAAAGAUUUAUCGCUUCGGGAGCGGCCUGCGCAGUAUCAGCUAGUUGGUAAGGUAAUGGCUUACCAAGGCUAUGACGCUUAGGGGAGGUGAGAGCCUGACCCCCACCGAUGGAACUGAGACACGGUCCAUACAUCUACGGAUGGCUGCAGUCGAGAAUAUUUGACAAUGGGCGAAAGCCUGAUCGAGCGACGCCGCGUGAUUGAUGAAGUCCUUCGGGACGUAAAGAUCUUUUAUGAGGGAGGAAGUUAUUGACUGUACCUCAUGAAUAAGGGGCUCCUAACUCUGUGCCAGCAGGAGCGGUAAUACAGAGGCCCCAAGCGUUACCCGGAAUUAUUGGGCGUAAAGGGUGCGUAGGCGGUCGUAUUAGUCUCUCGUUAAAGCCUUGGGCUUAACCCAAGAUCUGCGAGGGAAACGGUACGACUGGAAGAUGUGAGGGGUGUGCGGAACUCUAGGUGUAGGGGUGAAAUCCGUUGAUAUCUAGGGGAACACCAAAAGCGAAGGCAGCACACUGGCACAUUCUUGACGCUGAGGCACGAAAGCGUGGGUUUCGAACGGGAUUAGAUACCCCGGUAGUCCACGCCCUAAACGAUGAUCACUAGCUAUAAGGAGUAUCGACCCUCUUUGUGGCGUAGCUAACGCGUUAAGUGAUCCGCCUGGGUAGUACGAGCGCAAGCUUAAAACUCAAAGGAAUAGACGGGGACUUGCACAAGCGGUGGAUUAUGGGGUUUAAUUCGUCGACAAACGAAGAACCUUACCAAGGUUAGAAAUCUAGUUGAAGACAUUGGGAAACCUUUGUCGUCCGCAAGGACAAUUAGACAGGUGAUGCAUGGCCGUCGUCAGUUCGUGGUUUGAAUUGUUCCCUUAAGUGGGGUAACGAACGCAACCCUCAUUGCCUGUUACAUGUGUCAGGCGAGACUGCCCUUAUUUGGGGAGGAAGGUGGGGAUGACGCCAGGUCAGCAUGUCCCUCUGAUAUCUUGGGCUACACCCAUAAUACAAUGGCGACUACAACGAGAAGCAAUAUCGCGAGAUGGAGCAAAUCUUUAGAAAAGUCGCCCUAGUUCGGAUUGGAGUCUGCAACUCGACUCCAUGAAGCUGGAAUCGCUAGUAAUCGCGGGUCAGCCAUACCGCGGUGAAUACGUUCUCAAGUCUUGUACACACCGCCCGUC
rnacentral:rRNA from 1 species